CACUUCUUCCACCACCUUCAAUCCUUCCUCCAAACCCAUUUCUACCUCCACCUUCUAUUAUUCCUCCUAUCAUCCCAUCUCCUCCUCCUUCCAUAUUUCCUCCCUUAUUCCCUUCUCCUCCACCUUCAAUAUUUCCUCCAUUAAUUCCUUCACCUCCACGUUCUCCACCUUCAUUAUUCCCUCCGCUUAUCCCACCGUUCAUACCUGGUUUAACUCCAUCUCCCCCACCACCGCCCCCUUCACUCUUCCCACCAAUCAUACCUGGUUUUCCUGGUGUUCCUCCAGCUUCCAC
rnacentral:lncRNA from 1 species